rnacentral:misc_RNA from 1 species
AAAGGAUUAUGCUUCGCUGAACUUGACCAAGCGAUGUCCGUUUAAGGCCAUUACAGAUUAGAACGCUUUUACCUGCCUUUGGUGCGUUUUAGAAUGGCCUACCGCGGUCCGCGGCCAUCUGAGUAAGGUGCUUGUGAGUGAGCUGGCUCAAGCUGGAUGUGUUUUUUUUUAUAUAUAUAUAAUUUUAUUCUUCCAGACCUCAUCGUUGGUUAAUUUGGUACUUUAAUCCCUCUAUUAUUUCUCAAAUCUCAAUAAUAUUUUUUAUUAUAAUAAAAAAAAUAAAAUUAACCUUUAAAAUAUAAUUAUUUAUGAUUAUUUAUAAUUAUAUACUAAACAUAUUAAAAAAAAAA